GGGUUGUGAGGUUAAGCGACUAAGCGUACACGGUGGAUGCCCUGGCAGUCAGAGGCGAUGAAGGACGUGCUAAUCUGCGAUAAGCGUCGGUAAGGUGAUAUGAACCGUUAUAACCGGCGAUUUCCGAAUGGGGAAACCCAGUGUGAUUCGUCACACUAUCAUUAACUGAAUCCAUAGGUUAAUGAGGCGAACCGGGGGAACUGAAACAUCUAAGUACCCCGAGGAAAAGAAAUCAACCGAGAUUCCCCCAGUAGCGGCGAGCGAACGGGGAGCAGCCCAGAGCCUGAAUCAGUGUGUGUGUUAGUGGAAGCGUCUGGAAAGGCGCGCGAUACAGGGUGACAGCCCCGUACACAAAAAUGCACAUGCUGUGAGCUCGAUGAGUAGGGCGGGACACGUGGUAUCCUGUCUGAAUAUGGGGGGACCAUCCUCCAAGGCUAAAUACUCCUGACUGACCGAUAGUGAACCAGUACCGUGAGGGAAAGGCGAAAAGAACCCCGGCGAGGGGAGUGAAAAAGAACCUGAAACCGUGUACGUACAAGCAGUGGGAGCCUCUUUAUGGGGUGACUGCGUACCUUUUGUAUAAUGGGUCAGCGACUUAUAUUCUGUAGCAAGGUUAACCGAAUAGGGGAGCCGAAGGGAAACCGAGUCUUAACUGGGCGUUAAGUUGCAGGGUAUAGACCCGAAACCCGGUGAUCUAGCCAUGGGCAGGUUGAAGGUUGGGUAACACUAACUGGAGGACCGAACCGACUAAUGUUGAAAAAUUAGCGGAUGACUUGUGGCUGGGGGUGAAAGGCCAAUCAAACCGGGAGAUAGCUGGUUCUCCCCGAAAGCUAUUUAGGUAGCGCCUCGUGAAUUCAUCUCCGGGGGUAGAGCACUGUUUCGGCAAGGGGGUCAUCCCGACUUACCAACCCGAUGCAAACUGCGAAUACCGGAGAAUGUUAUCACGGGAGACACACGGCGGGUGCUAACGUCCGUCGUGAAGAGGGAAACAACCCAGACCGCCAGCUAAGGUCCCAAAGUCAUGGUUAAGUGGGAAACGAUGUGGGAAGGCCCAGACAGCCAGGAUGUUGGCUUAGAAGCAGCCAUCAUUUAAAGAAAGCGUAAUAGCUCACUGGUCGAGUCGGCCUGCGCGGAAGAUGUAACGGGGCUAAACCAUGCACCGAAGCUGCGGCAGCGACGCUUAUGCGUUGUUGGGUAGGGGAGCGUUCUGUAAGCCUGCGAAGGUGUACUGUGAGGUAUGCUGGAGGUAUCAGAAGUGCGAAUGCUGACAUAAGUAACGAUAAAGCGGGUGAAAAGCCCGCUCGCCGGAAGACCAAGGGUUCCUGUCCAACGUUAAUCGGGGCAGGGUGAGUCGACCCCUAAGGCGAGGCCGAAAGGCGUAGUCGAUGGGAAACAGGUUAAUAUUCCUGUACUUGGUGUUACUGCGAAGGGGGGACGGAGAAGGCUAUGUUGGCCGGGCGACGGUUGUCCCGGUUUAAGCGUGUAGGCUGGUUUUCCAGGCAAAUCCGGAAAAUCAAGGCUGAGGCGUGAUGACGAGGCACUACGGUGCUGAAGCAACAAAUGCCCUGCUUCCAGGAAAAGCCUCUAAGCAUCAGGUAACAUCAAAUCGUACCCCAAACCGACACAGGUGGUCAGGUAGAGAAUACCAAGGCGCUUGAGAGAACUCGGGUGAAGGAACUAGGCAAAAUGGUGCCGUAACUUCGGGAGAAGGCACGCUGAUAUGUAGGUGAAGUCCCUCGCGGAUGGAGCUGAAAUCAGUCGAAGAUACCAGCUGGCUGCAACUGUUUAUUAAAAACACAGCACUGUGCAAACACGAAAGUGGACGUAUACGGUGUGACGCCUGCCCGGUGCCGGAAGGUUAAUUGAUGGGGUUAGCGCAAGCGAAGCUCUUGAUCGAAGCCCCGGUAAACGGCGGCCGUAACUAUAACGGUCCUAAGGUAGCGAAAUUCCUUGUCGGGUAAGUUCCGACCUGCACGAAUGGCGUAAUGAUGGCCAGGCUGUCUCCACCCGAGACUCAGUGAAAUUGAACUCGCUGUGAAGAUGCAGUGUACCCGCGGCAAGACGGAAAGACCCCGUGAACCUUUACUAUAGCUUGACACUGAACAUUGAGCCUUGAUGUGUAGGAUAGGUGGGAGGCUUUGAAGUGUGGACGCCAGUCUGCAUGGAGCCGACCUUGAAAUACCACCCUUUAAUGUUUGAUGUUCUAACGUUGGCCCCUAAUCGGGGUUGCGGACAGUGUCUGGUGGGUAGUUUGACUGGGGCGGUCUCCUCCUAAAGAGUAACGGAGGAGCACGAAGGUUGGCUAAUCCUGGUCGGACAUCAGGAGGUUAGUGCAAUGGCAUAAGCCAGCUUGACUGCGAGCGUGACGGCGCGAGCAGGUGCGAAAGCAGGUCAUAGUGAUCCGGUGGUUCUGAAUGGAAGGGCCAUCGCUCAACGGAUAAAAGGUACUCCGGGGAUAACAGGCUGAUACCGCCCAAGAGUUCAUAUCGACGGCGGUGUUUGGCACCUCGAUGUCGGCUCAUCACAUCCUGGGGCUGAAGUAGGUCCCAAGGGUAUGGCUGUUCGCCAUUUAAAGUGGUACGCGAGCUGGGUUUAGAACGUCGUGAGACAGUUCGGUCCCUAUCUGCCGUGGGCGCUGGAGAACUGAGGGGGGCUGCUCCUAGUACGAGAGGACCGGAGUGGACGCAUCACUGGUGUUCGGGUUGUCAUGCCAAUGGCACUGCCCGGUAGCUAAAUGCGGAAGAGAUAAGUGCUGAAAGCAUCUAAGCACGAAACUUGCCCCGAGAUGAGUUCUCCCUGACUCCCUGAGAGUCCUGAAGGAACGUUGAAGACGACGACGUUGAUAGGCCGGGUGUGUAAGCGCAGCGAUGCGUUGAGCUAACCGGUACUAAUGAACCGUGAGGCUUAACCUUACAACGCCGAAGCUGUU
rnacentral:rRNA from 1 species